AUUAAAAUGGCAGAAAAGUGCAUUAGAUUUAAGCUCUAAAUAUGGGAGUAUUCCUUUUUGAUA
rnacentral:tRNA from 1 species